CUGAAACUUGAGGCGGGAGGUUGCCUGCCUGCCUUGCAGGCUAAAGGCAGUAGGCACCCAGGACAGAGCAGUGUUGCAGGCAGAGAUCCAGGGAGCUGAAGGCAGCUCCUGGCAAGCUGCGGCUAUGAGGGCACUAUGUGUGCCUGCACACUUACCAGAGAUAGGCAGGAUGACUCUGCUGGAUGGGACAGAAUCAUUCAGAAAUUGGAUGGGACAGGCACUGGAUUUGCUCAUUAACUGUUGAAGCUAAUUGGAUGAUUUCCAUUGUGGGCAAGUAGCCUGGCAAGACACACCCAGAAUCAUUCUCUGAACAUGGAACCAACGGGAAUUCAACAGGAGGUGGAGUCAGACUUAGCUCAUCAAUGCAUCAACAUAAGGCCUGGAAGGUUCUGUGGCCCAAAUCCUGUAGUUCGAACCAUGCAAGUAGACCUUCACACCCAUGGAGAGCUCAGAUUUCCCAUCCAUCAGGUGGCCUUCUGCUCUUAAUUUCUAUUAUGAUGAUCAGGAGCCUGCUUUCAAAGAACCAAUGGCUGAAGGGAACAAGGGAAUCUCCCAAAGCAGCAAAAAUGAAGUGGUUUCAUUGAUCUGUAAGAAAGCACCCAUAGAGCAGGCUCAAAAAAGGGAUUUGGCAGCUGCUGCACAUCCUGCACCAGCCCUCCAUGUCCCUGCCUGAAAGGGAGUUUGAGUGAGCGUGGGGGGAAGGACAGAGGCUUGCACACAAUGAUAUACCAGUGGCCCAAGGUGCAGCUCUUUUAACAAACUGUUUCUAAAGCAAUGGCAUGGAAGUUUUAACAGCUGAAGUGCCACUUUGCCAUCAUAGAAUUGCAAAAGAAUUGAAGGUAUAAUACAGCAUGUGUGUGACAGGAUUAUCAGAAAGUAAUAGUUAAGGUUUUAGUCUUGUGGAGAGUCAUGAAGACCAUGGGUUGAAUAUAUCUAAAAAAAGUUCCAAAAGAGAAUUCAUUGGGACUUAGAGCCAUACCAUCCUGAACUGCACUUUCAUCAGAAAUUGGAUCACUACCUGGACCUUCAAGUAAUUUAGUAGAUAGCACAAUUCCCUCUGAGAGUUGGUCUGCUCUAGAAAAUCCACGUGUUUGGUAUCCAUAUAGUUUUACUGGAUGUAAACAAAGAUGCAAAUUGUAAUUCUUCCAUACUGCUGGUGCUAGUUUACAGUGUAUGUGCACAUGUUAGUAUUUACAUAGUGUGCCAGUAUUCACACUUGCAAAAUGAAGCCAGCAUCUGAAAACUUAAACCUCCCCAAUGUCAAUUUUUGCUUCUCCUAAGCUCAUCUAACUGUGAUUGUAGACCUUUCGGUGAUGAUGGUGUAAGCAGGUUAAACCAAGUUUGGCUUAAUAUUCCACAACAGAGGCUUAACAGUGUUUCAGGAAGAGUCCACAUAAAUUGAAAGUAGAAAAGGCCUAUUAUGUGGGGUCAUUCUGGAUUGAUCCUGGGGUAAAUGAGAAUCUUAUCACUGACUUUAAUGGAGCAGAACUGAGCCUUCAGUUCAUUCCUUUGUCAAUGCAGUAUUAUUCCCUAUGGGACACUUUUUAUAUUACUUUGUCAAUUUAGCAAACUUAGCCCAGAAUUUUGCAAAAAAAAAUAAUGUUUAAAUAGUGCAUUAUAAGGCUUGGAGAAAGAAAAAUAGCCAGCAUUUAUACUGUCAUUUUCUAUCACUGCCGUGUGGGAAGCUGUGUGGUUUAAGGAGAUUGUGUUGUCUAUCAGAUAAAGCCAAUCCUAGAAGCCAGCUGAGCCACUGAAUAGCUAUGUAAUUUUGGACAAUCACUUGACCUCUUUUUACCUCACUCAAGCCAGCUGGAAGAUUGGAUGAAACAGAGGACCUCAAUGAAAACUGGAUGCAGCAUCCAUUUAUAUUUCCUAGAUAGGUGAAUUACAAAAACAUAGUUUCAGAAUAUCAUUUUUGCUCAGCUAAUACUUGCAUAUUGUAUCACAAACAAAAAUUCUCUAUGAGCUAUAAAUUCAUGAGGUGUAAAAGUGCAUCUUUUCCAUUUUUGGCUCUGUUAUGUAUUAACAAGCUCUCUCAUAGCUGCCUAAAAUAAGUGGUUAAUAAAAUGCAAGAAGCAGAUGACUAUUAAAAAUUUAAGACCCUCUCUUUACACUUUUAUUAAUUCUA